CCUACGGGUGGCUGCAGUGAGGAAUAUUGGUCAAUGGACGCAAGUCUGAACCAGCCAUGCCGCGUGCAGGAAGACGGCUCUAUGAGGUGUAAAAUGCUUUUGUACGAGGGUAAACGCAGAUACGUGUAGCUGUCUGAAAGUAUCGUACGAAUAAGGAGCGGCUAACUCCGUGCCAGCAGACGCGGUAAUACGGAGGAUUCAAGCGUUAUCCGGAUUUAUGGGGUUGAAAGGGUGCGUAGGCGGUCGGAGAAGGUAGAGGUGAAAUCCCGAGGCUCAACUUCGGAAUUGCCUCGGAUACUGUUCGGCUACAGCGUAGUUGCGGUAGGCUGCCUGUCUGGUGUAGCGG
rnacentral:rRNA from 1 species